UGGGGAAUUUUGGACAAUGGGGGCAACCCUGAUCCAGCCAUUCCGCGUGAGUGAAGAAGGCCUUCGGGUUGUAAAGCUCUUUCAGCAGGAACGAAACGGUGGCCACUAAUACUGGCUACUAAUGACGGUACCUGAAGAAGAAGCACCGGCUAACUACGUGCCAGCAGCCGCGGUAAUACGUAGGGUGCGAGCGUUAAUCGGAAUUACUGGGCGUAAAGCGUGCGCAGGCGGUUCCAUAAGACAGAUGUGAAAUCCCCGGGCUUAACCUGGGAACUGCGUUUGUGACUGUGGGACUCGAGUGUGGCAGAGGGGGGUGGAAUUCCACGUGUAGCAGUGAAAUGCGUAGAGAUGUGGAGGAACACCGAUGGCGAAGGCAGCCCCCUGGGUCAACACUGACGCU
rnacentral:rRNA from 1 species